rnacentral:rRNA from 1 species
CCUACGGGAUGCACCAGUGGGGAAUAUUGGACAAUGGGGGGAACCCUGAUCCAGCCAUGCCGCGUGUGUGAAGAAGGCCUUUUGGUUGUAAAGCACUUUAAGCGAGGAGGAGGCUACCUAGAUUAAUACUUUAGGAUAGUGGACGCUACUCGCAGAAUAAGCACCGGCUAACUCUGUGCCAGCAGCCGCGGUAAUACAGAGGGUGCGAGCGUUGAUCGGAUUUACUGGGCGUAAAGCGUGCGUAGGCGGCCAAUUAAGUCAAAUGUGAAAUCCCCGAGCUUAACUUGGGAAUUGCAUUCGAUACUGGUUGGCUAGAGUAUGGGAGAGGAUGGUAGAAUUCCAGGUGUAGCGGUGAAAUGCGUAGAGAUCUGGAGGAAUACCGAUGGCGAAGGCAGCCAUCUGGCCUAAUACUGACGCUGAGGUACGAAAGCAUGGGGAGCAAACAGGAUUAGAUACCCGUGUAGUC